rnacentral:rRNA from 1 species
UUAGUUUACUAAUAAAAUAACCUAGUGGCGCACGGGUGCGUAACACGUGAGAAUCAACCUAAAAGUGGGGGAUAGCUCGCCGAAAGGCGAAUUAAUACCGCAUGUGGAGGUAACUUUAAAGCUGGGGCUCCUUCGGGACCUGGCGCUUUUAGACGAGCUCGCGGCCUAUCAGCUUGUUGGUGAGGUAAUGGCUCACCAAUGCUCUGACGGGUAGCUGGUCUGAGAGGACGAUCAGCCACACUGGAACUGAGACACGGUCCAGACACCUACGGGUGGCAGCAGUCGAGAAUCAUUCGCAAUGGGGGAAACCCUGACGGUGCGACGCCGCGUGGAGGACGAAGGCUCUAGGGUCGUAAACUCCUGUCACCACAGAACAAGAUUAGCGGAUUAAUACCCCGCUGAUUUGAUGGUAUGUGGAGAGGAAGCCACGGCUAACUCUGUGCCAGCAGCCGCGGUAAUACAGAGGUGGCAAGCGUUGUUCGGAUUUACUGGGCGUAAAGCGUGCGUAGGGGGCUGGCAAAGUCUGAUGUGAAAUCUCACCGCUUACCGGUGAAACUGCAUAGGAUACUGGUCGGCUCGAGGAUCGGAGGGGAGAGCGGAAUUCCAGGUGUAGCGGUGAAAUGCGUAGAUAUCUGGAGGAACAC